CAUGGCUUUUUUUUUUAAAUGGCAUUUAGUUAUGACGAGAGAGUGGAUUUUGACAUAUUACAGAAAGCCAGAUUUGGGAGGAAGAAGUUAAACGUUAGAAGAAUCAGCAGCGGUUUUGGCACUGCAGGUUGACUUCGACUAUCUUCUCCAUAAAAACCAAGUUAUUAACUUUAUGGAGCUGCAUGGAAGAAAGCAACACCAUUAUGUUCUCAUCACCACAGCUCCUAUUACAGUAAGAGAGAAAACAUCCUCCUAAUCUCUUCAAGUGUUCCUAGUCCAUUAUUUGACCUCUUUCACUACUCAGCACUUGUACUUUUUUUUAUGGGAAACGUGCAUGGAGUGGGAGCCUCUUCAAAGGUGAAUGACACAUUUUUGAAAGAAGAACAGCA